rnacentral:rRNA from 1 species
AGAGUUCGAUCCUGGCUCAGGAUGAACGCUGGCGGCGUGCCUAACACAUGCAAGUCGAACGAGAUGCGUAUUGGAAAGCUUCGGCCGGAAGAUACGUUAUCUAGUGGCGGACGGGUGAGUAACACGUGGGUAACCUGCCUUAUGGAGGGGGAUAACAGAGAGAAAUCACUGCUAAUACCGCAUAAGCACACAGUACCGCAUGGUACAGGGUGAAAAGAUUUAUCGCCAUAAGAUGGACCCGCGUCUGAUUAGCCAGUUGGCAGGGUAAAAGCCUACCAAAGCAACGAUCAGUAGCCGAUCUGAGAGGAUGACCGGCCACAUUGGGACUGAGACACGGCCCAAACUCCUACGGGAGGCAGCAGUGGGGAAUAUUGCACAAUGGGGGAAACCCUGAUGCAGCGACGCCGCGUGAGUGAAGAAGUAUUUCGGUAUGUAAAGCUCUAUCAGCAGGGAAGAUAAUGACAGUACCUGACUAAGAAGCCCCGGCUAACUACGUGCCAGCAGCCGCGGUAAUACGUAGGGGGCAAGCGUUAUCCGGAUUUACUGGGUGUAAAGGGAGCGUAGACGGAAUGGCAAGUCUGAAGUGAAAUACCCGGGCUCAACCUGGGAACUGCUUUGGAAACUGUUGUUCUAGAGUGUUGGAGAGGUAAGUGGAAUUCCUGGUGUAGCGGUGAAAUGCGUAGAUAUCAGGAAGAACACCGGAGGCGAAGGCGGCUUACUGGACAAUAACUGACGUUGAGGCUCGAAAGCGUGGGGAUCAAACAGGAUUAGAUACCCUGGUAGUCCACGCUGUAAACGAUGAAUACUAGGUGUCGGGGUGCAAAGCAUCUCGGUGCCGUCGCUAACGCAAUAAGUAUUCCACCUGGGGAGUACGUUCGCAAGAAUGAAACUCAAAGGAAUUGACGGGGACCCGCACAAGCGGUGGAGCAUGUGGUUUAA